GGGUGCCCGAGUGGCGAACGGGUGAGUAACACGUGAGUAACCUGCCCUUGACUUUGGGAUAACUUCAGGAAACUGGGGCUAAUACCGGAUAGGAGCUCCUGCUGCAUGGUGGGGGUUGGAAAGUUUCGGCGGUUGGGGAUGGACUCGCGGCUUAUCAGCUUGUUGGUGGGGUAGUGGCUCACCAAGGCUUUGACGGGUAGCCGGCCUGAGAGGGUGACCGGCCACAUUGGGACUGAGAUACGGCCCAG
rnacentral:rRNA from 1 species